AUGGAGAUGGCGAACGAUGGUGGCGGGAAGGGGAGAAGAGUAGAGCAAACUAAGGAAGGGGAGAAGCAGAGGUGUCGGAGAUGCCAUGACGGCGGCGUCACGCAGCUUCUUGCCAUCCAUGGCGCCGACGGCCACCUCACCUUCAUGCGCACGACGGCGACGUCACGUAGCUUCUUGACAUCCAUGGCGUUGGGGCAUGGUAAGCGGCGGUGGCAAGAUGCGAGCAACGAGGUGAGCCGCGGUGGCGACGUGAUCACAAGUGCUAGAGGUGAGAUACGCAGCAGCCCACGAUGGUUCAAUGUCUAUCUCGGAAGGAAGGGUUACAUGCGAUUGGAGGUGAAGCGACACACGUUUAAUGAGUUUGCAUUCAUCAAGGGGUAUAUUGGUAUAUAGUGACAUCUCA
rnacentral:lncRNA from 1 species